rnacentral:rRNA from 1 species
AAUGAACGUUGGCGGCGUGGAUUAGGCAUGCAAGUCGUGCGGAAAGGCUCCUUCGGGAGUACUCGAGCGGCGCAAGGGAGAGUAACGCGUGGAUAUCUACCCCCUGGACUGGGAUAGCGGCGGGAAACUGCCGGUAAUACCAGAUAAUGUCUGCGGACCAAAGGUGUGAUUCCGCCGGGGGAUGAGUUCGCGUCCUAUUAGCUAGUUGGUAGGGUAAUGGCCUACCAAGGCAAAGAUGGGUACCGGGUGUGAGAGCAUGGCCCGGCUCACUGGGACUGAGACACUGCCCAGACACCUACGGGUGGCUGCAGUCGAGAAUCUUCGGCAAUGGGCGCAAGCCUGACCGAGCGACGCCGCGUGCGGGGUGAAGGCCUUCGGGUUGUAAACCGCUGUCAGAGGGGAGGAAAUGCGUGAGAGUUCUCUCUCACGUUUGGCCUAUCCUCAGAGGAAGUACGGGCUAAGUUCGUGCCAGCCGCCGCGGUAACAC